UACGGAGGGUGCAAACGUUGCUCGGAAUCAUUGGGCGUAAAGCGCACGUAGGCGGCCUGUUAAGUCGGGUGUGAAAGCCCUGGGCUCAACCCAGGAAGUGCACUCGAAACUGGCGGGCUUGAAUAUGGAAGAGGGUCGCGGAAUUCCCGGUGUAGAGGUGAAAUUCGUAGAUAUCGGGAGGAACACCAGUGGCGAAGGCGGCGACCUGGGCCAAGUAUUGACGCUGAGGUGCGAAAGCGUGGGGAGCAAACAGG
rnacentral:rRNA from 1 species